rnacentral:lncRNA from 1 species
GGAUUUCCAGGCCUCAUCUUCGCUGGUGUAAGGACGUCUCUGGGAGUAGAGAGAGUCAUUCUGAAGAACCAACACGGGUCUUUUAUUGUCGUAGUCUUGUGUCAUGUCUGGCGGAGGCAGCGGGCGGCGGAACUGGCCCGGCGGGUCGGGAGGGCGCGGGGGCGAGCGGAGAGAGCAGCGCGCAGCCCGCCGCACCGACGGG